AUUGAACGCUGGCGGCAUGCCUAACACAUGCAAGUCGAACGGCAGCGCGGGGGCAACCCUGGCGGCGAGUGGCGGACGGGUGAGGAAUGCAUCGGAAUCUGCCUGGUUGUGGGGGAUAACGUAGGGAAACUUACGCUAAUACCGCAUACGACCUACGGGUGAAAGUGGGGACCGCAAGGCCUCACGCGAUCAGAGGAGCC
rnacentral:rRNA from 1 species